rnacentral:lncRNA from 1 species
GGCAGGAGGUGGCGUGCUGCUGGUGUGGAAACCUGUCAAGGCCAGCGAGACCUUCACCUACUGCUUACAGUACAGCAUAGCGGGUGGCGUUGUGGAGUGGAAGUUGAUGGCGGAGGACGUCGCUGACAGCUGCUACACUGUCAGCUCCUUACCGAAGGGCCCGGGCUACGUGUUCAGAGUUGGCUGUGUCACUAAAGCAGGAGCCGGACCGUUCAGUGACCCCACAGUCCUGGCCUUCAUGGCAGUCCAACAUGAAGACUCCCACAUUCCUCUCAUUCAAAAGGAAUCGCUCAGGUCAAAGGUCAUUGUGACAGGGGCCCAGGGGACCCACAAGAUAUACUCCUUCCUCUCUGAGAUUAACAGGGGCCGCUUCAGUGUGGUGGCCCAGUGUUAGUGUGUAGUAUUAAAGUGGAGUGGCCCAGUGUUAGUGUGUAGUAUUAAAGUGGAGUGGCCCAGUGUUAGUGUGUAGUAUUAAAGUGCGGAGGCCCAGUGUUAGUGUGUAGUAUUAAAGUGUGGUGUUAGUGUGUAGUAUUAAAGUGUGGUGUUAGUGUGUAGUAUUAAAGUGU